rnacentral:tRNA from 1 species
AAAAAGAUAAGCUAAAUAAGCUAGUGGAUUCAUACCCCAUUUAUAAAGGUUUUGCUCCUUUUCUUUUUA